UGUGCCAGCCGCCGCGGUAACUCCAGCUCCAAUAGCGUAUAUUAAAGUUGUUGUGGGUAAAAAGCUCGUAGUUGAACCUUGGGCCUGGCCGUCCGGUCCGCCUCACCGCGUGCACUGGCACGGCCGGGCCUUCCCACCGCGGAAUCGCAUGCCCUUUACUGGGCGUGUCGGGGAAGCGGUACUUUUACUGUGAAAAAAUUAGAGUGCUCUAAGCAGGCCUAUGCUCGAAUACAUUAGCAUGGAAUAAUAGAAUAGGACAGGCGUUCUACUUUGUUGGUUUCUAGGACGUCUGUAAUGAUUAACAGAAACAAUCGGGGGCGUCAGUAUUGCAUCGUCAGAGGUGAAAUUCUUAGAUCGACGCAAGACUAACUACUGCGAAAGCAUUCGCCAAGGGUGUUUUCAUUAAUCAGGAACGAAAGUUAGGGGAUCGAAGACGAUCAGAUACCGUCGUAGUCUUAACCAUAAACUAUGCCGACUAGGGAUCGGGCGGUGUUAAUUUUUGACCCGCUCGGCACCUUACGAGAAAUCUUAAGUGCUUGGGCUCCAGGGGGAGUAUGGUCGCAAGGCUGGAACUUAAAGAAAUUGACGGAAGGGCACCACCAGGGGUGGAACCUGCGGCUUAAUUUUGACUCAACACGGGGAAACUCAUCACGUUAGGAUAUUUUUAGGAUUGACAGAUUGAGAGCUCUUUCAUGAUUAAAUAGAUGGUGUGCAUGGCCGUUCUUAGUUCGUGUUAUGAACUGUCAGCUCAUUGCGAUACGACGAGACGCGACUGCUAAAUAGCCGCGCGCCCGCGCUGCGCUUCUAGUGGACUAUCGCUCAGCCGAUGAGUACCCGUCAUUA
rnacentral:rRNA from 1 species